rnacentral:lncRNA from 1 species
GGUUUGUAUGUUUUAUUUUUCUCUAAACUUUCAUUCGUCUAUUGAAGCAACAGAUUAAACAAAUAACUGACGUUGCCUUGAAUAAUCCUCGAAGUCACUACGAGCGACAGUCACAG